CCGCCAUUUUCCGAAUUAGGCGCUGCCCUCCGAAGGCAGAGGCCACAGGUUCGAAUCCUGUCGGGUGCACCA
rnacentral:tRNA from 2 species